ensembl:lncRNA
CUUGACAUCAUUCUCCAGCCUCACACAGUUCUUAUCUGGAUCCAAUGCUGUAACUCGAGAUUUAAUCCACUCAACACCUUCAGGCAUCACACUUUCUGUUGGACGUGCAGAAGCUGACAGCUGCUUUGCACCAGCACCAACCAGGGUCCACAGAGGCUGAUAGUAAUGAGUCUGAAAUAAAUGUUUUAACAGAUGUUUAAGAACAAUUUAAUUGCACUUGAUUAUGAAGGCACAUCACUCCAAAUAAGAGGCAACAUCUAUUAACAUUCUAUUCCUAACAAGAGAAGGUAUACAAAUAACCAAGAGUUUUGCCUCACAGUUGGAAGGAUGUAUGAAUCUCUGUGAUGGGAGAAAAAAAAUCUCAUACCAAGCUUACUAAAUUCAACUUAAUUGGCUUCCUCUCCAUAGUAAGCUGGGCUGGAAAGGGAUGAGAAUCAGAUCAAACUGAUCACAUACAUCAAAUACUUAUUCUUUCAGCAUAAGGAAGACUUACCUUACUUGGCUCAACAACAGCCACGUUCCCUGCCCCCACUUUCCUCUUCAUCCGAGCACUCAUGGUGAUUCCACCAGAGCCUCCACCCAGCACAAGUACUUCAUAAUAAUCCUUGGCAGCACACCUGGCUGCUGUAUGCAAACCAAGGGAGCUCUUCUUCUGUAUGCCUGGCUUCAGCAGCCAUACUCCAGGACGGAGACAGGAAAAGGAAAACGCUGCUCCAACUGGUGACAUCUUUCAAUAAGUGGGAAGCUGCAAGAUAAGGAAAAGUACAGUUAAUGAUGUAAGGCAGUUUUUAUUUAUUUAUAUGGCCAUAUAUAUUUAUAUAUAUUAUAUAUGGCCAUAAACAUAUAUAUAUUUAUAUGGCCAUUGUCUUCCAGGCAAGAAUUAAUGCUAAGCUUUUGUUGCAGCUAAAACACUAAAAGUUCAGUGAUUUUAGUUUAGAAGCUAAAACUUCCAAACUAAUUGUAAGCAAUUUGGAGAGGGUUAAAAAAAUUAAUCACUGACUCUACUAGAAAAUUAAAAUUUCAUACAAGCAAAUGAAUUCUAACAAAUGACAAUAUAUUUUUCACCUUAUCUUAGCAGGAAAACGUGUCUGAUA